UGAGUCCCAGUGGUCAGAGCAUGCUCUGCAG
rnacentral:misc_RNA from 1 species